rnacentral:rRNA from 1 species
GCAUAUCAAUAAGCGGAGGAAAAGAAACCAACAGGGAUUGCCCCAGUAACGGCGAGUGAAGCGGCAACAGCUCAAAUUUGAAAUCUGGCCCCAGGCCCGAGUUGUAAUUUGCAGAGGAUGCUUUUGGCGCGGUGCCUUCCGAGUUCCCUGGAACGGGACGCCAUAGAGGGUGAGAGCCCCGUACGGUUGGACACCAAGCCUUUGUAAAGCUCCUUCGACGAGUCGAGUAGUUUGGGAAUGCUGCUCUAAAUGGGAGGUACAUUUCUUCUAAAGCUAAAUAUUGGCCAGAGACCGAUAGCGCACAAGUAGAGUGAUCGAAAGAUGAAAAGCACUUUGAAAAGAGGGUUAAACAGCACGUGAAAUUGUUAAAAGGGAAGCGCUUGUGACCAGACUUGCGUCCGGUGAAUCACCCAGCUCUCGCGGCUGGGGCACUUCGCCGGCACAGGCCAGCAUCAGCUUGCCGUCGGGGACAAAAGCUUCAGGAACGUGGCUCCUCUCGGGGAGUGUUAUAGCCUGUUGCACAAUACCCUUCGGCGGGCUGAGGUACGCGCUCCGCAAGGAUGCUGGCGUAAUGGUCAUCAGCGACCCGUCUUGAAACACGGACCAAGGAGUCAACCUUAUGUGCGAGUGUUUGGGUGUCAAACCCCUACGCGUAAUGAAAGUGAACGCAGGUGAGAGCUUCGGCGCAUCAUCGACCGAUCCUGAUGUUCUCGGAUGGAUUUGAGUAAGAGCAUAUAGGGUUGGACCCGAAAGAAGGUGAACUAUGCGUGUGUAGGGUGAAGCCAGAGGAAACUCUGGUGGAGGCUCGCAGCGGUUUCUGACGUGCAAAUCGAUCGUCAAACAUGCGCAUGGGGCGAAAGACUAAUCGAACCUUCUAGUAGCUGGUUUCCGCG